GCCAUGGUUAGCGGAAAUAUCGGCUCAAUGUUGUGGCGGCCAAUGGGCGGGAUGCACGCGUGGCCGGGAAGGGAAGAGGGCGUGGUGACAGGUGUUAUGCCAUGCACUCCUAGGGCUCCAUGGCUGCUCUGGUCGGACACGGUUGUGUGGGCAUUCCCGUGAGAGCCUGUGCGUGGUAAGUAACAGGGGCAAGUAGAAUGGUAGUUGGGCACACAAUCCAGGCUCUUCUCGGGAUCAACUCAGGACUGUGAGAGGCAAAUUGGCUCAUCUCCAACUUAGCAAAGCUUUGAUCCCUGUUCGCCACUGCCUCACGAGCUCUUUGGCCUACAGGAAAGCAAUUAUCAAGGACACUCCCUCUUUAUCCCCGGAUUCUCUCGAGGAAUCCCUUGCUGCUGGGCCUGGUGAGGGAUUUUUGUUUCAGCACAUGCUUGGGAUCAACUCCAUUUGUAGGAACCAGGUGUUUCGAGUUGACGUAGGGCUGUCGAGUGGCUGCGCCAGCCAACACUGCUCCUGAAGUUUUGGAAAUCCUUCUCCUUGAAAGAGAAGGAGAAGCAGCAGGUGCCACCGCAAGCAUCGCCUGGUUUAGCUUCGUUUUUAGAUUGAGGUAAGUCGUAAGUUUGAAUAUCUUUGUAUUCUAUGAUGAGAUUUUUUUUCUGUCUGAUACUGCUUCCAUCGAAUCUAAAAUUUAGUUCCAGUUUCCGAGAGUUUGAGGGCCGGUUUCAACAAUGCUGUGCUGGGAUGCUGUGCUAGGUAGCCUGAUGCUGGCGUAGGAGCAGCACUUGGGGCUACAGCUCAAAAUUGCAAAGCUGUGGAUUAUGAGGCAGAGAUUGAUCAUUACAUAGUUGUGAAAUUUAUAUAUAUCCAACUGUAGUCUGCAUUUCUAUUCUGCAUAAACUUCUAUACAAACUCAA